AUGUUACCCUUCUUGAUGAUGUUGUAAAUGGAAUUGUUUUUUUAUUUCCGUAUUCAGAUUGUUCAUUGCCGCUGUGUUUGAAUACAGUUGCUUCAUAUGUUGAUCUGGUGUCCUGUAACCUUGCUGAACUUACCAUAGUAAUUUUUUUAGUGUAUUCCUUAGUAUUUUUUUUAACUUAAUUAUUUUGAGACAGCACACCCACGCAAGAGCAGGGGAGGGACAGAGAAGGAGGGAGGGAGAGGGAGGGAGAGGAUCCCAAGCAGGCUCUGCAGUGUCAGCACAGAGCCCGGCGUGGGGCUCCCAUCUCACCAACUGUGAGGUCGCGACCUGAGCCAAAACCAAGAAUUGGACUCUUAACCAACGGAGCCACCCGGCCGCCCCUUAGUAUUUCCAUGUAAUAAGAUUAUGUAGUCUGUAUGAAUAAAGAUAGCUUUGCUUUUUCCUUUCCAGUCUAGAUAUUUUAUUUCUUCUUUCUUACCUAACUGCUGAUCUGCUACUUUUGAGGGCAGCCCUUACAGGACUCUAGACCGUGAAAAAUUACAUUGACCUGAAAAAGGAAAGAAAGCUACGAAUGGAUAAAACUUGAACAUUUUCCAGCGUGCCAGGGACCAAAACAUCAAUUUAACCUCUUCACCAAAAAUUUCAGCUUUGUUUUUAGAGACUUUCUCUAUGGGAAAAGUGGAAGGUAGCAGAAAUAGAAUUGGCAGGAUUCACUUUACCAAUAGCUUUUCCAUGAAGUGGGAAGACACCUUUUUAUUUUACUCUCAAUGUCAUAAUGAAGGUAAAGCAUUAUAUAAACUGUUGACGACAAUUCUAGAUAAACUCAGAAUGCUGUCAGAUCGGAGGCCCUAAUUACCGAGUGCAGAAAAAUCUGCAGUAAGAAAAGGAGAUUAAAUUAGAGAAGACCUCAAUGUAACUGUAAACUUCUCUUGGAAACCAUGAAAAUCGAGCCAUUAAAAAGAAUACAUUUAACCAAA